UACGUAGGGGGCAAGCGUUGUUCGGAUUCAUUGGGCGUAAAGGGUGCGUAGGUGGCGCCGUAAGUCAGGUGUGAAAUUUCGGAGCUUAACUCCGAAACUGCAUUUGAUACUGCGGUGCUUGAGGACUGGAGAGGAGACUGGAAUUUACGGUGUAGCAGUGAAAUGCGUAGAGAUCGUAAGGAAGACCAGUGGCGAAGGCGGGUCUCUGGACAGUUCCUGACACUGAGGCACGAAGGCCAGGGGAGCAAACGGG
rnacentral:rRNA from 1 species